rnacentral:rRNA from 1 species
AGCGAACGCUGGCGGCAGGCUUAACACAUGCAAGUCGAGCGCCCGUAGCAAUACGGGAGCGGCAGACGGGUGAGUAACACGUGGGAACGUGCCUUUUGGUUCGGAACAACUGAGGGAAACUUCAGCUAAUACCGGAUAAGCCCUUACGGGGAAAGAUUUAUCGCCAAAAGAUCGGCCCGCGUCUGAUUAGCUAGUUGGUGGGGUAAUGGCCCACCAAGGCUACGAUCAGUAGCUGGUCUGAGAGGAUGAUCAGCCACACUGGGACUGAGACACGGCCCAGACUCCUACGGGAGGCAGCAGUGGGGAAUCUUGGACAAUGGGCGCAUGCCUGAUCCAGCCAUGCCGCGUGAGUGAUGAAGGCCUUAGGGUUGUAAAGCUCUUUCAGC